rnacentral:rRNA from 1 species
UACGGAGGGUGCGAGCGUUGUCCGGAAUCACUGGGCGUAAAGGGCGCGUAGGCGGUCUGCUAAGCGUGCGGUGAAAGCCUGGGGCUCAACCCCAGGUCUGCCGUGCGAACUGGUGGACUAGAGCACUGUAGAGGCAGGUGGAAUUCCGGGUGUAGCGGUGGAAUGCGUAGAGAUCCGGAAGAACACCGGUGGCGAAGGCGGCCUGCUGG